rnacentral:miRNA from 19 species
UGACCAUGACAAGCAAUGGAGCUUCGACAAGGGUGUUUGACUCUACUACCCGUGAACCCCAUCAGAUGGAGAUAUGUGGUUGUAGAGUCAUGCACCUCUGCCGAGGCUCCUGCUUUUUACUCCUUU